AAAGUCCCAAAGAAAAGAACCCCAAAAGAGAAAUAGAGAGAGAGUUGGGGACACACCAAAGGACGCUCCGUCUGGGAUUCCUCCUCUCUUCCUCUUUGGAAAAUUCCAGAUACUUUCUUUCUCUCAAAUCUUCUAUUACUGAGGAGAUGAGAUGAGGUGAGCCGUAUGGGACCGUGAUUCAGUAUCUUCUGGAAGCCGUUUAAGCUACGCUACUUCUUUUCUACAAACGAAUUAUUAUGGGUUUGUUUGUUGUCAAUUGUCACCUUGUGAUUAUUUAUUUAUUUACAUGUGAUAUCGCGAAUUUCCCCCA